rnacentral:rRNA from 1 species
AUGAACGCUGGCGGCGUGCCUAAUACAUGCAAGUCGAGCGAACGGACGAGAAGCUUGCUUCUCUGAUGUUAGCGGCGGACGGGUGAGUAACACGUGGAUAACCUACCUAUAAGACUGAGAUAACUUCGGGAAACCGGAGCUAAUACCGGAUGAUAUUUUGAACCGCAUGGUUCAAAAGUGAAAGACGGUCUUGCUGUCACUUAUAGAUGGAUCCGCGCUGCAUUAGCUAGUUGGUAAGGUAACGGCUUACCAAGGCAACGAUGCAUAGCCGACCUGAGAGGGUGAUCGGCCACACUGGAACUGAGACACGGUCCAGACUCCCACGGGAGGCAGCAGUAGGGAAUCUUCCGCAAUGGGCGAAAGCCUGACGGAGCAACGCCGAGUGAGUGAUGAAGGUCUUCGGAUCGUAAAACUCUGUUAUUAGGGAAGAACAUAUGUGUAAGUAACUGUGCACAUCUUGACGGUACCUAAUCAGAAAGCCACGGCUAACUACGUG